rnacentral:lncRNA from 1 species
GGGAAGGGAGCCCCGGGAGCGACUGCUGAGGGACACCGCGGCGAGCGAGCAUGGGUGGAGGAGCUGAGGGUGUGAGCAGGGCUGCAGCGGGCAGGUCCAAGGCAGGUUGGUGUUUAUCUUGGGAGAGUCUCCAUAACAGCUCUGCACGAUGGGAGGACCCCAAGACAGCAGCCCAAGGAGGACAGGCAUUCUCGUGAGACAGCCGGAAUCCAGGUCUUCAGCUCCUCUGUGGUGCCGCAGGGGCUCCUGGGAGUCCGCCAUCUUGUGGACAGUGAACGGCCAGCCGUCUGCUCUCUACUGGAUCUGAAGACAUCCCUGGGAGCAGAGCGGAUGUUGGUAGCAGAUUCCAGUAUGGGAAGCUCAGAGAAGGUAAGCAGGGUGUCGGGGAGCCCCUGCCUGGGGUCCUCUGCAGCCGCCGUGUCGCUGGGGACUCGGUGUCCGUCCCUUGGUGUGGUGCUUGGAGCCGAGGGUGGUGGUGGACACCUGUGGUGGGGAGGACGGUCAUGCCCAGGUGGGGCCAGGGGCCAAGUGGCUGCUGGGGUCACACUCACACAACUCACAGUCACU